CCUACGGGAGGCAGCAGUAGGGGAUAUUGCUCAAUGGGGGAAACCCUGAAGCAGCAACGCCGCGUGGAGGAUGAAGGUUUUCGGAUUGUAAACUCCUUUUGUUAGAGAAGAUAAUGACGGUAUCUAACGAAUAAGCACCGGCUAACUCCGUGCCAGCAGCCGCGGUAAUACGGAGGGUGCAAGCGUUACUCGGAUUCACUGGGCGUAAAGAGCGCGUAGGCGGGAUAGCAAGUCAGAUGUGAAAUCCUAGGGCUUAACCAUAGAAGUGCAUUUGAAACUGUUAUUCUAGAGUAUGGGAGAGGUAGGUGGAAUUCUUGGUGUAGGGGUAAAAUCCGUAGAGAUCAAGAGGAAUACUCAUUGCGAAGGCGACCUGCUAGAACAUAACUGACGCUGAUGCGCGAAAGCGUGGGGAGCAAACAGGAUUAGAUACCCGAGUAGUC
rnacentral:rRNA from 1 species